AGAGGGAAAGUGGACGCUGCGUUCCAGAGAGGCGCUGCAGACAGUCCGUGCCCAAUGUUGCAUGUGGAAAAGAGGGACACGUAUGUUGCAUGAGAGAUUCAGUUGUCGGUCGAAACAAAAUCGGCAAAAGCGACGGAGCCCAGAGAAAUCAAGCGAAAACGAAGAAACAAAUUUAUAAUAGAAAAAGAUCCAAACACAAGGCUCCAAGAAAUGUACGAAGGAUUAUGGGAGAUGUAAGUCCAAGUGCCCGCGG